rnacentral:tRNA from 1 species
UGGGCUGUGGCUCAGUGGUAGAGUACUCACCUAGCACAUGUGAGGCACUAGGUUGGAUCCUCAGCACAA